rnacentral:miRNA from 1 species
CUUUCCGAGAAAGCGCUCUGGCUCCAGAUUAGCUAUUUUCAUUUUUUUUAAAAGGAAAAAAAAUUAGAAUACUAAGAAGGAACUUUGCAUUCGAAAUUGAUAGAGAAGAAAUUGGUUAAAGAACCUGGGUUCGAAAG